GAAGCUGGAAUAUGAAAAAUAGAAGGCAGAGUGGUGAUGAAGUCAUCACUGACUUCCAGGCCCUGAGCCUGCUGACUCGGCGAGGAUGUGGGUGUGCUCCUUCACCAGACAGAAACGUUUCGUUUUGAUGACACAAGCAGCCACCGGGGAUGCAGCAGAUCUGGAGGAGUACAAGCUGAGUUGCAGAAGCAACGCGUGCAAAUAAGCCUCCAGCCACUGACUUGCCGCUGUGAUCUCUCGGGAAGACCUCUGUGCCCAAUUUUGGACGGCUAUACUUGCUAUAUUCAUCUGUGUUUCCGCCUCAAUCUCCUGGGAACAAUUCGGCUCUCUCAAAGAAAUGCCAAGGAAAGAGCUUCCCCUUUUCCAUUCCCUACCUCUCCUCUACAAGGAAGGAAGAGAAGUAGCUCCUCUGCAGGUGAAGAAACGAAAACCUCGAGAUCAAGAGACCUUCCCAGAGGUCACACUGCUAAAAAACCACAGCCAGACCUUCUCAUACGGCCACAAUGUACAGAGAAGAUGGAGUCUCACUGUGUCACCCAGGCAAGAGUACAGUGGCAUGAUCUUGACUCACUGCAACCUCCGCCUCCCGGGUUCCAGCAAUUCUUCUGCCUCAGCCUACCAAGUAACUGGGACUAUAGACACGUGCCACCACACCUGGCUCAUUUUUUUUUUAUUUUUAGUGGAGACGGGUUUUCACCCUGUUAGCCAGGAUGGUCUUGAUCUCCUGACCUCGUGAUCUGCUUGCCUUGGCCUCCCAAAGUGCUGGGAUUACAGGCAUGAGCCACUGUACCUGGCUAUAAGAUUUGUAUUUUCAAAUAGCAAAAAACAAUUCAAAUGGCAGUCUGUACACAUACAUGUUACUUCAUCAAAAGCACAAGGAAGAAACCAAAAUGACCCUGUGACAGAUGACACGAAACGGUGAAUUCCCAGUAGCACAGUUCAGGACAGUAUUUUAAAGGACUGUUUUAAGAUAAUGUCACAUUUGUUAUCUCCACAACCUGGACUUAUUCUUCGAAAACAAUUCCAAAAACAAACCUAAAACUUAAGAUAAAGCUGGAAAAAUAACAGAAGAAAUGCACAGACCAAUCAGAGAGAGACAGGGACAAGAGAGAAAAAUUCCCAGAGAAACAGCAGGACUAAAGGAUUCCCGGACUUGGAGAGGGGCAGCAACCAUGGGAAUCUGAGCUACAGUCACGUGUCAUCGAUCAGCACCAGUAUCUAUAAAAUUGAUAUUCAUCUUUCCUCCAACAGAGCACCUACCUUAGUGUGUGUUAUGGGCUGAACUGUGUUUCUUCCAAAAUUCAAAUGUUAAGAUCCUAGCCCCCAGGACUUCGGACUGCAAUCUUAUUUGAAGAUGGCACCUUUACAGAGGCAAUCAGGUUAAAACAAGGUCAUUAGGGUGGGACAUAAUCCAAAAUGACCGUUAUCCUUAUCAGAAGGAGAAACUUGGACACAGACACACAGGAACUAUGAUGUAAAGAGGACAGGAGAAGACGGCCAUCUACAAGCCACAAGAGAGGCCUGGAACAGAUCCUUCCCUCACAACCUUCAGAGGGAACCGACCCUGCCGCCACCAUGACCUUGAACUUCUAGCCUCUAGAACUGUGAGACCACACAUUCUUGUUAGUGGUAUUUUGUUAGGGGACAGCCCUGGCAAACUAAUCUAUUUAGCUAGACUACAUAUGGCCCAAUUAGGAUUUUAAUCAGUACAAUAAGCCUAAAUGUAGUUUUUUUUGACACAAAAUGGCGAAGAGUUACAGUUAAAUUUAAGUGGUAAUCAGCAGAAUAAUUAUACACAUGUGUAUGAAUACAUAAAUAUAGGCAUAGCUGGAGCUCACGCCUAUAAUCCCAUUGACUCAAAGGCUGACGUGGGAAGACUGCUUGAGUCCAGAAGUUCAAGACCAGCUUGAGCAACAUAGCAAGACUCUGUCUCUACAUGGAUUUUUUAAAUAUAAAAAACUAGCCAUGCAUGGUGGUGUGCACCUGUUGUCCUAGGUAUAUUCAGGAGGCUGAGGCAGGAGGAUGGUCUGAGCUCAGGAGUUCGAGGCUGCAGUGAGCUACGAUCAUUAUCACUGCACUGUAGCCUGGGUAACAGAGCAAGACAUCAUCUCGAAAGCAAAUCAAUAUAAGCACAGAUGCAGGUGCCGGUGUAGACAAGGACAUACGCAUAUGCAUAUGUGUGUAUUGUGCCCAAGGUCACAAAGCCAACAAGUGCCAGGAGCAGGACUCUUACCUGGGCAUAUGUGCCUCCAGGGCCCAUGCCUUGCUAUAAUACCACCAUGCUGUACCACUAACAAAGCUACAUGGCAAUGUAGAAAAUACCUGUGAUAACAGGACAAUGAUUGAUGCUGCAUAGAAUUUAGGGUGCUUCCAGUCAAGCAGGGAAAAGACUAUGUUAGCAAAUUUAUUAGAGUGACAGAAUAACAGUUUGUUUUAUUUUGGCUUUUGUUAUACUGGAAUUAAAAUAAAUUCGGUUACUCUAAUACGGAUGAAACCAAAUGACGGUCUUCCUUGUCAGAUCACUCCUCCAUCAUAUAAAAAGAAAUGGGAAGCCCCUCUGUGGGGUCCCCCUCCACAUUCCACACAACCACCUCAAACUGCAGACCUAAAUAUCUAAGGCACAGUGUCUUGUGGGUACAGAAGAUAAGGUUCAGAUUCUGGGCCUAGGGGAAG